rnacentral:rRNA from 1 species
AACUGCGAGUGAAGCGGGAAAAGCUCAAAUUUAAAAUCUGGCGGUCUCUGGCCGUCCGAGUUGUAAUUUAGAGAAGCGUCUUCCGCGCCGGGCCGUGCACAAGUCUCCUGGAAUGGAGCGUCAUAGAGGGUGAGAAUCCCGUCUUUGGCACGGAUGCCUGUGCUUCUGUGAUGCGCUCUCGAAGAGUCGAGUUGUUUGGGAAUGCAGCUCAAAAUGGGUGGUGAACUCCAUCUAAAGCUAAAUAUUGGCGAGAGACCGAUAGCGAACAAGUACCGUGAGGGAAAGAUGAAAAGCACUUUGGAAAGAGAGUGAAACAGUACGUGAAAUUGUUGAAAGGGAAACGCUUGAAGUCAGUCGCGUCGACCGAGACUCAGCCUUGCCUUGGCUUGGUGUACUUCUUGGCUCGACGGGUCAGCAUCAAUUUUGCCCCUCGGAUAAUGGCAAGGGAAAGGUGGCACCUUUGCGGGUGUGUUAUAGUCUCCUGUCGCAUGCGAGGGGUGGGAUUGAGGAACUCAGCGCGCACCUUGGUGUCGGGGCUUCG